GAGGUGGCCGCCUGGGACUCCCUCCUUCAGGACAUUGCUCUGCUGCCGAUGGAGGUGGCGGAGGACCGGGGCGUCCUGUCCUGGCACCUCGAGCCUUCUGGGCGUUUCUCCACGAAGUCCUUAUACGGUGCCAUUGCACCCUCGUCGGCCCCGGAACCAUUUAGCCUGAUCUGGGAUAUCCGUCUCCCGCUGAAGAUCAGGAUCUUCCUAUGGCAAUGGAUCCGUGGCCGGCUCCCCUCUGGUGUUGAGGUCCUCAAGCGGAAUGGCUCGGGUGAUGGAAUGUGCCCCAUCUGUGGCACCGUUGAGGAUGCUAACCACAUCUUUUUCUCGUGCCACUCUGCCCAGUUCCUUUGGGCCUGCUUCCGCGAAACGGUUGGUGGACAGUGA
rnacentral:rRNA from 1 species